rnacentral:rRNA from 1 species
UACGUAGGGGGCAAGCGGUUGUCCGGAUUUAUUGGGCGUAAAGAGCGUGUAGGCGGCCUGAAAGGUCAGCUGUGAAAACUCGAGGCUCAACCUCGAGACGCCGAUGGAAACCAUCAGACUAGAGUCCGGAAGAGGGGAGUGGAAUUCCUGGUGUAGCGGUGAAAUGCGCAGAUAUCAGGAAGAACACCCGUGGCUAAGGCGGCUCUCUAGUACGGUACUGACGUUGAGACGGCGAAAGCGUGGGGAGCGAACAGG